AACGAACGCUGGCGGCAUGCCUAACACAUGCAAGUCGAACGAGACCUUCGGGUCUAGUGGCGCACGGGUGCGUAGCGCGUGGGAACCUGCCCUUAGGUUCGGAAUAACUCCCCGAAAGGGGUGCUAAUACCGGAUAAUGUCUUCGGACCAAAGAUUUAUCGCCUUUGGAUGGGCCCGCGUUGGAUUAGCUAGUUGGUAGGGUAAAAGCCUACCAAGGCGACGAUCCAUAGCUGGUCUGAGAGGAUGAUCAGCCACACUGGGACUGAGACACGGCCCAGACUCCUACGGGAGGCAGCAGUGGGGAAUAUUGGACAAUGGGCGAAAGCCUGAUCCAGCAAUGCCGCGUGAGUGAUGAAGGCCUUAGGGUUGUAAAGCUCUUUUAACCGGGAUGAUAAUGACAGUACCGGGAGAAUAAGCUCCGGCUAACUCCGUG
rnacentral:rRNA from 1 species